rnacentral:rRNA from 1 species
GACGAACGCUGGCGGCGUGCCUAAUACAUGCAAGUCGAACGCUUUUUCUUUCACCGGAGCUUGCUCCACCGAAAGAAAAAGAGUGGCGAACGGGUGAGUAACACGUGGGUAACCUGCCCAUCAGAAGGGGAUAACACUUGGAAACAGGUGCUAAUACCGUAUAACACUAUUUUCCGCAUGGAAGAAAGUUGAAAGGCGCUUUUGCGUCACCGAUGGAUGGACCCGCGGUGCAUUAGCUAGUUGGUGAGGUAACGGCUCACAAAGGCAACGAUGCAUAGCCGACAUGGGAGGGUGAUCGGCCACACUGGGACUGAGACACGGCCCAGACUCCUACGGGAGGCAGCAGUAGGGAAUCUUCGGCAAUGGACGAAAGUCUGACCGGGCAACGCCGCGUGAGUGAAGAAGGUUUUCGGAUCGUAAAACUCUGUUGUUAGAGAAGAACAAGGAUGAGAGUAGAACGUUCAUCCCUUGACGGUAUCUAACCAGAAAGCCACGGCUAACUACGUGCCAGCCGCCGCGGUAA